UGAGGAAUAUUGGUCAAUGGGCGUAAGCCUGAACCAGCCAUCCCGCGUGCAGGAAGAAGGCGCUAUGCGUCGUAAACUGCUUUUCCAGGGGAAGAAAACCUCUGAUGUAUCGGAGCUUGCCGGUACCCUGGGAAUAAGCAUCGGCUAACUCCGUGCCAGCAGCCGCGGUAAUACGGAGGAUGCAAGCGUUAUCCGGAUUUAUUGGGUUUAAAGGGUGCGUAGGCGGAUUAAUAAGUCAGUGGUGAAAACCUGCAGCUUAACUGUAGAACUGCCAUUGAUACUGUUAGUCUUGAGUACGGUCAAGGUAGGCGGAAUGUGUAAUGUAGCGGUGAAAUGCUUAGAUAUUACACAGAACACCGAUUGCGAAGGCAGCUUACUGGGCCAUUACUGACGCUGAUGCACGAAAGCGUGGGGAGCGAACA
rnacentral:rRNA from 1 species